CUAUGAUAUCCACACUCUGAGGUGUGCUCGUAAAGAUGUUUGUAUACGCUGGAAGAAGAUCUUGCUUCAGCUGGGUUACCAGAAGGAGGCAGACUCCUUACUGACAGUGAACAGACAGACGGUUCUGAGUGACUGGGAGAAUGUGGAGAAAGCCAGAGAACUUCUGCGAAUUGUGUCAGAGGAGACAGGCCUCUUCCCCCGUGGACUCAGCAACAGUGAAAGAUACAUCUUUGUCAUGGAUCGACUGGUGUCUCUGGACAGUGCUGAAGACUUUGUGCGGCUGGCCAAAGAGAAAUAUCCAAGAAUUGAGUCUUGAGAUGUAAAGGAACUUCUAAGUUUGGACUCGUUUGCUCUCUUUGAUGCUUCUUCUGCAACUGUUUUUUUAAUCAAUAAAUUCAUUG